rnacentral:rRNA from 1 species
GUCUACGGCCAUAAUACCCUGAACUGCUCAAUUUCAUCUGAUCCCGGUAGCUGAGCAGGGUCAGGCCUAGUUAGUACUCGGAUGGAAAAAGUAUGGGUUGCCCUAUACA